CACUCAUCACCUGCUCUACCUCGGCACAGGCGCCAAUCCCGAGUUCCCUCCCCCCGUCUCCUCCCAAUCGGCGUCCCCCGCCGUCCUCCCGCUCCCCUCCGUUGCCCGCCUCGUCCUCGCCGACCCGCACCCGCUCGUGUCCCUGCGCAACGUCGCGGACCAGGCGGCCACCGCGUCGAAUCUGUUCGGCUUCCUAGCCGCAAAAAUACCCUCCCGGGGAGCUGGCUUGCUCGGACGAGAGAAGUGGCCGUUUCCAGGGAGCUGGCUUGUGCUAGCUGUUGUUCAUUUGAGGGAAAAAAAAACCUCGCUCAAUUCUCCCAGGGAGCUGUCCGCCUCGUGCUGGUACUGGUAGCCAGUAGUCACACUCCGGUGCUCUCACUACGGCGGUGGGUAGUGAGCAGCGCGGCGGCGGCAUCGAGGACGACAGUCUGCGAUGUUGGCGAGGACUCGCGGUUUGCAUGAAGCCACGAACAGGCUCAAGGAGGGCCCAGUGUGCAUUCAUUAGGAGGGCCCAGUUCUAUUGUCUAAAUAUGAGAAAACCGGAUACAGAAAAGUUCUUUUGCUACUACAGCACGAACAAAGUGUGCAGAAAUUCAGGAUGGGUGAUUGGGUGAAGCUACAUUAUUAGAGGGUGUUUAGGACUGCUACACGAUAUUGUUCGGCUGCAAGUACUGUAGCUUCCUCUGGAAAUGCCGCAGCCACAGCAGCUUUCAGCUGUAGCGAACGGCUUGCUAGUUGCUACAGUGUUUUAUUUUUAUGUAAUGCUGUCUAAAACAUCGAAC
rnacentral:misc_RNA from 1 species